UAAAAUAAGGAAAAUUACACUACAUAGUAGGUUUUACUGUUAAAAUGUCUAAGACAUGUCCACACAAAUGUAUGGAAGACAUAUAUGACUUGAAUUUAAAUUGACUUCUUUAUACACAUUCAUGACUACAUACAUUUAAAUAAUGUUGUUAGCUGUGCAAUGUUUAGAUGUGCAUUGGUUUCUAAUACGAAAAAGCUUAAAAGUUAUAAUGUUAAAACUACAAUCAACAGCGAACACUAGAAAUGGUGAACGAUUUAAAGUUGUCGUUAGCUAGAUACCGUUUUGAAAUAUAUUAGUUUAUAAACAAUAUAAAAAGCUUAGAAGUUGUAAUGUUAAAGCUACAAUCAACAACGAGCACUAGAAAUUGUGAACAAUUUAAAGUUGUCGUUAGCUAGAUACCGUUUUGAAAUAUAUUAGUUUAUAAACAAUAUAAAAAGCUUAGAAGUUGUAAUGUUAAAACUACAAUCAACAGCAAACACUAGAAAUGGUGAAUGAUU